CCUAUGGGGGGCAGCAGUGAGGAAUAUUGGUCAAUGGGCGCGAGCCUGAACCAGCCAAGUAGCGUGAAGGAUGACUGCCCUACGGGUUGUAAACUUCUUUUAUAAAGGAAUAAAGUGAGGCACGUGUGCCUUUUUGUAUGUACUUUAUGAAUAAGGAUCGGCUAACUCCGUGCCAGCAGCCGCGGUAAUACGGAGGAUCCGGGCGUUAUCCGGAUUUAUUGGGUUUAAAGGGAGAGUAGAUGGGUUGUUAAGUCAGUUGUGAAAGUUUGCGGCUCAACCGUAAAAUUGCAAUUGAUACUGGAAGUGUUGAGUACAGUUGAGGUAGGCGGAAUUCGGGGUGUAGCGGUGAAAUGCUUAGAGAUCAAGAAGAACGACGAUUGCGAAGGCAGCUACUAAACUGCCACUGACAUUGAUGCUAGAAAGUGUGGGUAUCAAACAGGAUUAGAUACCCGAGUAGUC
rnacentral:rRNA from 1 species